rnacentral:tRNA from 1 species
GCCUGGGUGGCCCAGUCGGUUGAGCGUCUGACUUCGGCUCAGGUCGUGAUCUCACGGUUCGUGGGUUCGAGCCCUGUAUCAGGCU